rnacentral:rRNA from 1 species
GACGAAGGAUGCAAGCGUUAUCCGGAUUCAUUGGGUUUAAAGGGCGCGUAGGCGGCCUUGUAAGUCAGUGGUGAAAUCUCUGGGCUUAACUCAGAAAUUGCCAUUGAUACUGCAGGGCUUGAGUACAGUUGCCGUUGGCGGAAUAUGACAUGUAGUGGUGAAAUACAUAGAGAUGUCAUAGAACACCGAUUGCGAAGGCAGCUAACGAAACUGUAACUGACGCUGAGGCUCGAAAGUGUGGGGAUCAAACAGG